rnacentral:miRNA from 1 species
CGGGGUCGGCGGCGACGUG